rnacentral:rRNA from 1 species
CUUAUAUUCUGUAGCAAGGUUAACCGUAUAGGGGAGCCGAAGGGAAACCGAGUCUUAACUGGGCGUUAAGUUGCAGGGUAUAGACCCGAAACCCGGUGAUCUAGCCAUGGGCAGGUUGAAGGUUGGGUAACACUAACUGGAGGACCGAACCGACUAAUGUUGAAAAAUUAGCGGAUGACUUGUGGCUGGGGGUGAAAGGCCAAUCAAACCGGGAGAUAGCUGGUUCUCCCCGAAAGCUAUUUAGGUAGCGCCUCGUGAACUCAUCUUCGGGGGUAGAGCACUGUUUCGGCUAGGGGGUCAUCCCGACUUACCAACCCGAUGCAAACUGCGAAUACCGAAGAAUGUUAUCACGGGAGACACACGGCGGGUGCUAACGUCCGUCGUGAAGAGGGAAACAACCCAGACCGCCAGCUAAGGUCCCAAAGUCACAGUUAAGUGGGAAACGAUGUGGGAAGGCUCAGACAGCCAGGAUGUUGGCUUAGAAGCAGCCAUCAUUUAAAGAAAGCGUAAUAGCUCACUGGUCGAGUCGGCCUGCGCGGAAGAUGUAACGGGGCUAAACUGUGCACCGAAGCUGCGGCAGCGACGCUUAUGCGUUGUUGGGUAGGGGAGCGUUCUGUAAGCCUGCGAAGGUGUCCUGUGAGGGAUGCUGGAGGUAUCAGAAGUGCGAAUGCUGACAUAAGUAACGAUAAUGCGGGUGAAAAGCCCGCUCGCCGGAAGACCAAGGGUUCCUGUCCAACGUUAAUCGGGGCAGGGUGAGUCGACCCCUAAGGCGAGGCCGAAAGGCGUAGUCGAUGGGAAACGGGUUAAUAUUCCCGUACUUGGUGUUACUGCGAAGGGGGGACGGAGAAGGCUAUGUUGGCCGGGCGACGGUUGUCCCGGUUUAAGCGUGUAGGCUGGUUUUCCAGGCAAAUCCGGAAAAUCA